GAUUGCCACACAUGUCUGAGAACCUGA
rnacentral:piRNA from 1 species